rnacentral:rRNA from 1 species
UACGUAGGGUGCGAGCGUUAAUCGGAAUUACUGGGCGUAAAGCGUGCGCAGGCGGUUUUGUAAGACAGGUGUGAAAUUCCCGGGCUUAACCUGGGGGCUGCGUUUGAUACGUGCGGACUUGAGUUCGGAAGAGGGUCGUGGAAUUCCCAGUGUAGAGGUGAAAUUCGUAGAUAUUGGGAAGAACACCGGUGGCGAAGGCGGCGACCUGGUCCGGUUCUGACGCUGAGGCGCGAAAGCGUGGGGAGCAAACAGG